rnacentral:tRNA from 1 species
GCCUCCAUCGCAUAGUGGUAUUGCACUCGGCUUGAGACCGAGGCCCUUUGGGCUCACAGGUUCGAUUCCUGUUGGGGGCG